GUUAACCAGAUAUAGGACUCCUCUGUCUUGCUACGAUGGACAGCCACAAGGAUUCACUUGAAUAAAAGAAGCAACAGUGGGUGCCAGGCUGUUUGUGCUGUGGAUUGAAUGGCGGGCCUUGCACAGAAAUGUGCUGUUUUGUUAUACAUUUAUUACAAAGAAUCUCACAAAAAGAAAAUAUUUCAAAAAGAAUGCCAGGCUAAAGAACCUCCACCUGGAGAACUGGGGGAAGGCAGGGCAAUAAUAUCAACGUCAACAUACAGCACCCUCUGGCCAUACUUUAGCAGUUCCAGGAUGGCCAAGACGACAUCGUUGAUGUAACAGAAACCUGAGGCGUCAGACUUCUUUACAUGAUGCAGUCCCCCAGCCUGGCUCGCAGUGAUGUCCCUCUGAUGUGUAUCAAGUUUCACAGCACUUUCCAAAGAGCCACCAAUAGACAACUGACAACUCAGACAGGCCAUCGAUUACCGGGAAGUCCUCACCAACGCGGAAUCUCUGCAUCUGCUUGCUGUAUUUAGACACAUUAUCUGGGCGAAUAGAGCACAAGAGUUUAAUGUAGUCAUCACUGUGGGACUUGGUCAUCUCCUCAGCGUUGGCUCUGUGAGGACGAUAGAUUUCCAUUUUUUGGUAGAGAUGUAGUUGAGCUGCAAAUCACGAGUCAUGUGGAUUCGGUGAGGCUUCAUUGGGUGGCCCUGUCCAUAAGAUAGUUUCCAACAUCCCUGUUAACAGACGUUCCUCUUGCCCUGAGUCUGUGCCAUCUUUCUCACCACCCAGUGCUCCUGCCAGUCUGAUGUUUUAAUAUUUUUAGAUGGUGAUGCUUUGAGUUUAAAUGGCCUUUGACAAAUUCUAUCCUAAUUUCUAAUUAAGACAAGGAAAGAAAACAAAGAUGGAUAAGGACCAUAAAGUAAUGAAUGGACUGGAAACAGAAGUAAACUUAUUCAACAAUAAAA
rnacentral:lncRNA from 1 species